UACCCGCUGAACUUAAGCAUAUCAAUAAGCGGAGGAAAAGAAACCAACAGGGAUUACCUUAGUAACGGCGAGUGAAGCGGUAAAAGCUCAAAUUUGAAAUCUUCGGAAUUGUAAUUUGACGGGUAGAAUUUGUUUUUUAAAGAAAGUUCACUGGAAUGUGACGCCACAGAGGGUGAUAGCCCCGUUAACUAAAAGAAACUACUUAAUUCUAUUCCUAAGAGUCGGGUUGUUUGGGAAUGCAGCUCAAAGUGGGUGGUAAAUUCCAUCUAAAGCUAAAUAUUGGCGAGAGACCGAUAGCGAACAAGUACAGUGAUGGAAAGAUGAAAAGAACUUUGAAAAGAGAGUGAAAUAGUACGUGAAAUUGUUGAAAGGGAAGGGAAAGGGGGAGAUAAUUCAAGCUAAUACUUCUGUGUUGCUUGACCACAUC
rnacentral:rRNA from 1 species